GACGAACGCUGGCGGCGUGCUUAACACAUGCAAGUCGAACGGUAAGGCCCUUCGGGGUACACGAGUGGCGAACGGGUGAGUAACACGUGGGUGAUCUGCCCUGCACUUCGGGAUAAGCCUGGGAAACUGGGUCUAAUACCGGAUAGGACCCUGGGAUGCAUGUACUGGGGUGGAAAGCUUUUGCGGUGUGGGAUGGGCCCGCGGCCUAUCAGCUUGUUGGUGGGGUGAUGGCCUACCAAGGCGACGACGGGCAGCCGGCCUGAGAGGGUGACCGGCCACACGGGGACUGGGAUACGGCCCAGACUCCUACGGGAGGCAGCAGUGGGGAAUAUUGCACAAUGGGCGCAAGCCUGAUGCAGCGACGCCGCGUGAGGGAUGACGGCCUUCGGGUUGUAAACCUCUUUCAGCACCGACGAAGCGCAAGUGACGGUAGGUGCAGAAGAAGGACCGGCCAACUACGUGCCAGCCGCCGCGGUAA
rnacentral:rRNA from 1 species